rnacentral:ncRNA from 1 species
AGUCAGGGGAGUCCGUAGGCGGGCUGAGAGGAAGUUCUCAAACUUCGACCCUUUAAACCUGUAUGGGUAAUGCCAACGUAGGGAGAAAGAAA